CCGGAGGUGAUGCGAGACCCCGAGCUGACGCCGGUGAUGGCGGUCGUGUUCGUACUGUCUGAUCCGC
ensembl:snoRNA